rnacentral:SRP_RNA from 1 species
GCCGGAUGAGUGCCUUACGGCAUGCUCCUUCUAAUCCCCCAGGGCUUGACCGCAGCAAGGGUAUGAGGUUGUAGCGGCGCGAUAAGGAGAGCUCAUCCU